rnacentral:rRNA from 1 species
CAGCAGCCGCGGGAAUACGAAGGGGGCUAGCGUUGCUCGGAAUUACUGGGCGUAAAGGGCGCGUAGGCGGACAGUUCAGUCGGGGGUGAAAGCCCGGGGCUCAACCUCGGAAUUGCCUUCGAUACUGGCUGUCUUGAGUAUGAGAGAGGUGUGUGGAACUCCGAGUGUAGAGGUGAAAUUCGUAGAUAUUCGGAAGAACACCAGUGGCGAAGGCGACUCUCUGGUCUGUAACUGACGCUGAGGAGCGAAAGCGUGGGGAGCGAACAGGAUUAGAUACCCCGGUAGUCCCUGUCUCUUAUAC